UGAAUUUUGCUUAAUGUGAAG
rnacentral:piRNA from 1 species